rnacentral:lncRNA from 1 species
CUGGUUAGUUUUGUGUAGACGAAACGCACGUCUGGCGUAUUAAAUUUUAUCUCGUGUAAGCUAUUAUUCCUGUGUUUCUCUGUCCUAUAUGUUCUCCCAUGUAUUUGUAUUGUAGCCCUGUCAUGUAACGUUGUCAUUUUAAUGUUAUAUUUAACAUUGCUAAAAAGCGGGAGGUUUGGCAUGCCACAAAACCAGGUUCAACCCACC